rnacentral:rRNA from 1 species
AAAGGCGAAGAAGAAAAGGGAGGAACACCAAGUGCCGAAGGCCGACUUUUCUGGUCCGGUAACGGACGCUGGAAUGUGCGAAAAGCGUGGGGAUCAAACAGGAUAAGAUACCCUGGUAGUCCACGCGUAAACGAUGAGUGCUAAGUGUAAGGGGGUUUCCGCCCCUAAGUGCUGCAGCAACGCAUUAAGCACUCCGCCUGGGGAGUACGACCGCAAGGUUGAAACUCAAAGGAAUGACGGGGACCCGCACAAGCGGUGGAGCAUGUGGUUUAAUUCGAAGCAACGCGAAGAACCUUACCAAAUCUGGACAUCCUUUGACCUUCUAGAGAUAGAAGUUUCCCCUUCGGGGGACAAAGUGACAGGUGGUGCAUGGUGUGUCAGCUCGUGUCGUGAGAUGUUGGGUUAAGUCCCGCAACGAGCGCAACCCUUAAGCUUAGUUGCCAUCAUUAAGUUGGGCACUCUAAGUUGACUGCCGGUGACAAACCGGAGGAAAGGGUGGGGAUGACGUCAAAUCAUCAUGCCCCUUAUGAUUUGGGCUACUACACGUGCUACAAUAGGACCAAACACAAGGGGAAGCGAAACCGCGAGGUCAAGCAAAUCCCAUAAAGUUGUUCUCAGUUCGGAUUGUAGUCUGCAACUCGACUACAUGAAGCUGGAAUCGCUAGUAAUCGUAGAUCAGCAUGCUACGGUGAAUACGU